CCCGCACAAGCGGUGGAGCAUGUGGUUUAAUUCGAUGCAACGCGAAGAACCUUACCUGGUCUUGACAUCCACAGAACUUGGCAGAGAUGCCUUGGUGCCUUCGGGAACUGUGAGACAGGUGCUGCAUGGCUGUCGUCAGCUCGUGUUGUGAAAUGUUGGGUUAAGUCCCGCAACGAGCGCAACCCUUAUCCUUUGUUGCCAGCGGUCCGGCCGGGAACUCAAAGGAGACUGCCAGUGAUAAACUGGAGGAAGGUGGGGAUGACGUCAAGUCAUCAUGGCCCUUACGACCAGGGUUACACACGUGCUACAAUGGCAUAUACAAAGAGAAGCGACCUCGCGAGAGCAAGCGGACCUCAUAAAGUAUGUCGUAGUCCGGAUUGGAGUCUGCAACUCGACUCCAUGAAGUCGGAAUCGCUAGUAAUCGUGGAUCAGAAUGCCACGGUGAAUACGUUCCCGGGCCUU
rnacentral:rRNA from 1 species